AUGUCCUUUCCGCCUCCCAUCCAUGCUCGCCAUGGUUAUCUCUUUCGGCCGGGUCCAAUGAGCAAUGGUGAGACCAUGUGUCGCGGUGAGCAGCCGGAUUCGGCCACUGGAGAGCCGCGCCGUGGAUCUAGCCAUCCCAGGCCGAUUUCUAGUGUCGAGGGUGACCUGAUAAUUUCUACCUCAGUCGAGUUGCGCCGUCGUCUGACCAACUCGGGCCUAUUUCUGAUGCCGAGGGCAUCGCGUUCUGCAACGAAGCUGCACGACGACAUGGCUCUUCCGCUGUCCACUGGUUGCCGCUUGCCACUCCGAGUAGUAGGCGCCGACGCCAAGAGAGAGGACGACUGGCCUCCACUCGCACAGGAAGGAGUUGCUGCAUGUAGGCCUGCUACACCGCCUACUGUUGGUAUGCUCGGUAUUGGACAUGGAAAUCACACAGCAAAGGUACAAUUUUUUUGA
rnacentral:rRNA from 1 species